GCGCGGGUGGCGAAAUCGGCAGACGCACUACCUUGAGGUGGUAGCGGGGGCAACCCCAUGGGAGUUCAAAUCUCCCCCCGCGCA
rfam:Candidatus Giovannonibacteria bacterium RIFCSPLOWO2_12_FTLL_44_15 rifcsplowo2_12_scaffold_9982, whole genome shotgun sequence.